UGAGCAAUCUGCCCUUCUCAUCGGAAUAAGCGUUGGAAACGACGUCUAAUGCCGAAUACGACCUCCUUUCGCAUGAUUGGAGGUGGAAAGCUCCGGCGGAGAAGGAUGAGCUCGCGGCCUAUCAGCUAGUUGGUGUGGGUAACGGCCCACCAAGGCGACGACGGGUAGCCGGCCUGAGAGGGUGACCGGCCACACUGGGACUGAGACACGGCCCAGACCUCCGUACGGGA
rnacentral:rRNA from 1 species